UAACAACAGGGUACUUUAAUGUAUCUGCUCUACAACACUAAGAAAUAUUAUUCAAAGGACAAUGGCGAUCUCUGCUAGGUCAAGAAAUUCUGCACAGACAUCUCAAUGGCAAUCGAUGGGAGACCCUGGAGAGAGAGGGCAGGGAGGAGAUCCACAAAGCCAUGUAAUCCUUGCUCUCCAGGCUCCUGGAGCAGAGUAGGACAACCAUCCAGGCAUUCUGGACCUACCUGGCAAAGGACUGCAGACUGCAUACAACCAGUUAGGUUCCCACUUCUAAAGCAACGUUUCUAAUCUGUGGAACUAGUACCCCUGAGGGUAAUAGGUCUAUCCACAGGAGAUACUGUGUUAUUACCAUUUAGCAGGUGCCCAGGCAUUGUCCACCUCGGUCCACAG